rnacentral:rRNA from 1 species
GCUAGUGGAGCGAACCGGGUGAACUGAAACAUCUCAGUAGCUCGAGGAAAAGAAAUCAACCGAGAUUCCGAAAGUAGUGGCGAGCGAAAUCGGAUGAGCCUUUACGUUUUAGCGCGCAGGAUAGUCGAACGGAAUGGAAAGUCCGGCCGUAGCAGGUGAUAGCCCUGUAGACGAAAUUCUGUGUGUGGAACUAAGCGUAAGACAAGUAGGGCGGGACACGUGAAAUCCUGUUUGAAGAUGGGGGGACCAUCCUCCAAGGCUAAAUACUCGUGAUCGACCGAUAGUGAACCAGUACCGUGAGGGAAAGGCGAAAAGAACCCCGGAAGGGGAGUGAAAUAGAUCCUGAAACCGUAUGCAUACAAACAGUAGGAGCCUCCUUGUGGGGUGACUGCGUACCUUUUGUAUAAUGGGUCAGCGACUUACAUUCAGUGGCAAGGUUAACCGAAUAGGGAAGCCGUAGCGAAAGCGAGUCCGAAUAGGGCGAAUUAGUCGCUGGGUGUAGACCCGAAACCAGAUGAUCUAUCCAUGGCCAGGUUGAAGGCACGGUAACACGUGCUGGAGGACCGAACCCACUAAUGUUGAAAAAUUAGGGGAUGAGCUGUGGAUAGGGGUGAAAGGCUAAACAAAUCUGGAAAUAGCUGGUUCUCUCCGAAAACUAUUUAGGUAGUGCCUCAAGUAUUACUGCGGGGGGUAGAGCACUGUUAUAGCUAGGGGGUCAUGGCGACUUACCAAACUAUGGCAAACUCCGAAUACCCGCAAGUACAGCUUGGGAGACAGAGCACCGGGUGCUAACGUCCGGACUCAAGAGGGAAACAACCCAGACCGCCAGCUAAGGUCCCAAAUUAUCGCUAAGUGGGAAACGAAGUGGGAAGGCAUAGACAGUCAGGAGGUUGGCUUAGAAGCAGCCAUCCUUUAAAGAAAGCGUAAUAGCUCACUGAUCGAGUCGUCCUGCGCGGGAAGAUGUAACGGGGCUAAGCGAUAAACCCGAAAGCU